UCAUCUAGAACCCAGGACUGGUGCACUCAAGGGCACUCAAUAAACAAUGCAGCAGGAUUCAAUCCAGCAUCUCUGGGCACAGCACCAAGGACAAAGGUGUUGAGGCACACAUCAGAGGUUGAGAUAAGAAGAUGAAUCUCAAGUUACAUGCCCUAUAAAUUGGACCAUUUAAUGAGUCUUUCUUAAUUCACACUGGAGCUGCUAGGACUCUACCCGGGAGACUGCACCAUUUAGCUUUGAAUGAUGCUGUCUCCACAGCUGCACAAAAUCUUAGCAGUUGCAUUUUUCCUGCUCACAUUCUGUGCUCAAGGUAAACUUGCAGGAUUUCUUCCACGCUUCCCUUUCAAGCCUUUUUUUGGAGAUAGGAGCAACAGUGGAGAUGAACAACAAAUACCAGGUA